GACAGAGGGUGCAAACGUUGCUCGGAAUUACUGGGCGUAAAGCGCGUGUAGGCGGACCGGAAAGUCGGGCGUGAAAUCCCUGGGCUCAACCCAGGAACUGCACUCGAAACUUCCGGCCUUGAGUGGUGGAGAGGGUAGUGGAAUUCCUGGUGUAGAGGUGAAAUUCGUAGAUAUCAGGAGGAACACCGGUGGCGAAGGCGGCUACCUGGACACUAACUGACGCUGAGACGGCGGAAAA
rnacentral:rRNA from 1 species